CUACGGGAUUAUCCUGGUUACAUUAAUUAUGGGGUGAAGAUGUCCCCUCCCCUUGUACUGACACUUAAGAAGAGGAUAAUGUUUGACUGUGGGUCUCUGAUGCAGUUGCUGGAUGAAGCCUCUGAUGAUUACUGGGCUAAGCAUCAGUCUAUGAGUAUAGCAGACUAUCUUUAGGCAUCAUUACAUUGACAUUUUUAUCUCUAGUCAUAUUUGGUUGUAAGUUAGGUCUCUGGGCCAUCCAGUCUCUGACUCCCUGGUGCUUCAGACAGUGUCAGGUGUGGGCUCAACCCUCUGGCAUAGGUCUCAAGCUGGAUCAGUCAUUUGUUGGGCACUCCCACAGUCUCUGAGCCACUCUUACACAGAACCCCAUGUAGACAAGACAGACUCUAUGUAAAUCAAAGGUUGUGUGACUGGUUGGUGAUCCAAUCCCUCCUAUGGAAGUCUUGACACUGAUGGGUUGGUUAUUAACCCAAUUGUCAUCAGAGAGCCUUCAUCUAGUUUUGGAUAAAAACACAUGCCAAGACUCAAAGCCAAACUUUAGAUCAAGGUGGGAAAUCCUGAAGAAGAGGGUGAGAAAAGACUUAAGAACCAGAGGGUCCACAGAAUCAACUAACCUGGGUUCAUAAGAGCUCACAGAGAAUGAACCAAAAAAUGAAGACACCUGCACAGGACUUACCUAAUCUCUAUGCAUAUAUGUGACAGCUGUGUAGGUUGGUUUGUUUAAGGAAAUCCUAACCGUGGAGCAGGGGCUGUCUCUGACUCUUUUACUGGCUUUUGGAACCCCAUUUGUCCUACUGUUUGCCUUGCACAGCCUUAAUACAAGACUAAAUAAAGAAGUAGCUCUAUUUGUCAACCAGUGCUUAAGAUAUUGUAGUUCCAGCCAAAGUUUCACAAAAGUCGUUAAGAUGAGUAAAACUGAUGAAUACAAGAAGAUUGCACUGCCUAAUUGAAGCACUGGUGCCGUGAGGAAGAUAAAGAAUACAGAGCAGGGCUGCAAGCGAAUCUACAAGCAAAACACAGGAGCAACUUGUCAGCAGUGAGGGCACAUUUUAUCGACAGCUGUGUCCAAUAAGGAUGUGCUUCUGCACGAAAGGAUGACAUGUUGAAAUAUAUUUAUCAGCUCUUUCACUCAUGAGUGGAAUACAUAUAAGAUAUAUCACCAGAUGUUGGCAACAGGUCACU